GUGUCAGCAGCCGCGGUAAUACCAGCUCUCCGAGUGGUGGGGAUGAUUAUUGGGCCUAAAGCAUCCGUAGCCGGCUGGACAAGUCCCCUGUUAAAUCCAACGAUCCAAUCGUUGGUCUGCGGGGGAUACUGUCCGGCUUGGGGGCGGGAGAGGCCGCCGGUACUUCCGGGGUAGGGGUGAAAUCCUAUAAUCCCGGGAGGACCACCAGUGGCGAAGGCUGUCGGCUAGAACGCGCCCGACGGUGAGGGAUGAAAGCUGGGGGAGCGAACCGGAUUAGAUACCCGGGUAGUCCCAGCUGUAAACGAUGCAGGCUAGGUGUUAGGGCGGCUACGUGCCGCUCUAGUGCCGCAGGGAAGCCGUUAAGCCUGCCGCCUGGGGAGUACGGUCGCAAGGCUGAAACUUAAAUGAAUUGGCGGGG
rnacentral:rRNA from 1 species